AUAGAGAUAUGUAUAUGUUUUCCCAAAGCUUAGUGGUAAUGUUUGUUUUUCAUUUGUGAACUAGAUUAGUCUCAGAGUUCCUUGGUUCAUGCAAUUGAGAUUCUGCUUCAAAGGGUUCUAUCUUUGUACUCUGUUUCUACAUAGAAUUCGCAGCACAUCUUAAAAAAAUAAUAUCACAUCUUUUAGUUUAAUCAUAUGUAUGCUGCAUGCUUUCAAUUUGUAUAAAUGUUCAGUAUGUUUUAUAAACCCGUUCACCAAUGCAGAAAACGGUGGAAGGGCGCCAAGGUGUGCCCCUAAAUUUUUUGGUACCUGCUGUUGGAGGUGAAACGUGUGCAAGUACAACGAAUUCAUUAUUGCCGCAGGUAUGCUCUCUUCUGGAUUAACGAAUUCCGCUCCCUCAACCUCACACAUAUAACCCCUAUACAAGGUUUAAAUUCCCGCUCUCAGACAUUUUGGUCGUCAUGCUUUGACCUUCCUCACCAACGAUGUAGUUCGUCCUAAGACAAACAACUCUCUUCAUAUGAUGUCCAGAUGUGCUUGACAAGAUUUCAGCAAUCUCAUGUGCUUCCUUUCUAUUUCUAUAUGUUCAUUCUAUUUAUAGUCUGGCUAUUGCAUUGACCGUAGUGGCCAGGUGCUAAAAUAUGAUCUUUGGGGUGAUAGUGCUUUAUUGGAAACACGUUGAGGUUUCUUGGGAAAAUUGACUUGUUAUUUUUGUUGGCACCACUGUCUGAGAUUAUUCCGAUGUCGGCUCUUUAUUUUGUUAGAGAUGCCAGCAUACUAUCAUUUCUUUCUUUCCUGUUAACAUAUAUGGUACAUCAACGCAGACAUCCCUCAAAUAAUUGUCCUCCCUGCUAGAGUCGACCAUUGAACCCAACGCAAAUUCUUCGUUGGUUACCAAUAUUGCUCUGCGGCACCAAGUAGGCGACUAUCUGAGGAAAUCUCUUUCUGAAUUGAUCAACUUCAGUCUCUUGCAUGUGAUUGUUUGGAGAAAAUGAUGGGCUCCUAUUCCUGAACUUACAAUUGUUAUGCACUCCUGUAGUGUAAGGUUGUUUAUAGCCUCUUUCAGUUUGUCCAUUUUGUUGCUUUUGACUGGUAUCACCAUUAUCUGCUAGGUUAAUUAGAUUGAUAUCUUUGAAA